UACUCACCGGGCCCUGCAUAUGAAUCAUGUAUCUGAUUCAGCGGUGUGUCCUUACGACGUUGAGAAUGGGUCUGGCUGUGCCGUUUUCAUGCAAUGCAUACAUUUUUCAGAGACUGGAGACAUAUCCGUAAGACCGUAGGUUUUAUUUGCAGUCUUCAUCUUGACCGUGUUAUCAAUUUUUACCGUCAAAAUUGAUUUUGGGGUGAGGUUCCCCUUUAAGAGGUCUUCGUGAUGUGGUGGGAUAUUAAUUCCCAUUGCACAGGGCCUGCAUGCAGCGCUCUGUGUGUGUAUGUAAAAAGCAGGGGGUUUGACUGUGAGCCAGCCCUUCCCCCGGCUCGGUCUGGAGCUGUUUGAGGCCUUGCAGCCCCGGUGGAGCCUGCUGAAGUCCACAGGGCUCUCUCACUCCAGUGAAUCCAUCAUCCCGCCCUCCCCGUGCCCACUCACUGAGACCUUGUCAUGCCAGCAUCUUGGGUUCGUCUCCCAUCACAACCGAGCGCAAACAAGAGUUCCUAUUGGCUGGGCCGCUUUGCCACUUCAUCGUUUCUGUUCUUCGGCUGCUUCAGACGUCCAAGACAGGUUCCUUUGGCACUGGAAGGUGUUGUGAAUUGUAACAGCCGGAGAGGAGAGAGUGAUGGAGAGAGCGAGAGAGAGAGAGAGAGGGAGAGGGAGACCACCAACGGCUUUCUCACGUAAAGCAGCUGGAUGGAGAGCACGCCACACUUCUGUACCUGGGCCUUGUUACCUGGGCCUCGUCAUGGCAACGGAUACCCUGAGGUCUGAAAUGGGGUCGUACCCCUGAAGUAGCCUGAGAGAAUCCCGCGCCACUGACAGGGACUGUAUGAAGAAAGGAACGUGUGUAAUGGUGCGUAACCAGAGCAGAAUCAGGUUCACCGUUUAAACCCCAUUCAGGUGGAAUACCCCUCUCAACACUUAACGGAAAGCCAUGAAGUAAAAUGUAGACUUUGCCUAGAACCACGCACCAUUUCUCCUUCUCUUCGGUUAAAAAUGUAAUGUUAGACUUAGUUUCUGUUCUUCACAGACCUAGUUGUGAACUAUAGCUGUCACCAAAUCAAUAAAUAUGAUUGUGUGUUUGAACUGGAAAAU